CUAGAUCUGGUGCGAUGGCUUAGGUUGUUGAUUUUGUGGAGGUUGAAAGUGGAAGAGGAAAAGGAAAAAGGUGAUGAUGUGGGGGAGAUUAAAGCGGAAGGAAUACAAGUGGUUUCGCCAACAAAAAUGGCGAUGGCGGCGACGGCGACAGCUUGGGCGUGAAACAGUGGGAAUGGAGAAAAUGUAUUGGUUUUUUUUUUCACAACAAAAUGUAUUGGGUUUUACUUUAAAGAAUAUAAUUAUUUUAUUAUUAUUUUAUCUUUAAUUAAAUAAUUUUGAUUAAUAAUUUUAAAAAUAAUUAUGACAUGGCAUUAAUAUAUCUGAUGUGGAUAUGCCAUG
rnacentral:lncRNA from 1 species